GCCUUCCCCAGCUGUUGGAUCUGGCACAGGCGGGAGGGGAUUUUUGCAUCGUUGGCCCCCAGCACGGGGGUCACUGGUUGCUGUCCCGGGGGGUGCUCGGGGGCCACGCAGCCGAGCGGAGCCGUCCUGCUCCAUGGCCCCAAAUACCCCCAGGACAGUGGGACUGGGGUCACCAGCAGCUGGCUUCGGGUCCCCAGGCAAGAGGCAGGACCCAACCCCACACCUGGGGUUGUUUUUCUUGCCCUGAGCCCCCCCCACCUGCAGACCCCCAGCUCCUGCCCAGGCAACACCAGGACCUCGGCAAAACCUCGGCCCCUGGGGUGCAGGAUGGGGCCGGGGGCAGGACGGGGAGCUCGGGGCCGGCUGCACAGAGGGGCUGUGGGGGACGAGGUGCAGGGGGGCGAGGCGCUGGCAUCGCACAGGGCUCGUUCCCAGCCCAGCCGCCGCCUGGUCCGGCCGUGCCCAACGCGCUGCCCGCGGGCUGCCCCGGGCUGGCUGCACGCCCCCCGCGGGGCCGGGAUCUGGGAUUUCCAUCAGCGGCGAGGAAGGAAGCCUCGGCUGCAGCCCACGGAGCUGCUUCUCACACACAAGUUUUAUUUUGAUUUUUAUUUUUUUUUUAUGUGCCUGCUGUUUUUACAGCUCAAAAAUCGCUGGGUUUGAUUCCGGGCUGCCGUGCCAACGUCCCGGGCUGCGGCUGCACCAAAGCCGCCCAAACGCUCCCGGGGUCACCGCGGCCACGCGGGGCUCAGCAGGACAGGCACCGGCAUGGGGGGGGGGGGACAGCUGCUGCCACCCCCCCGGCCCUACAGAUGGGGUGCGGGACGGGGGCACACGGGGUGAGCGGGUCCCUGCGUGGGGCAGCUUCGGCCUCGCCUUCAGCCCCCGGGUUUUGGGGAGCUCGUGGCCACGGGGCUCGGACCCCUGCAGGAGGAGGGUGCCGGGGGGCUCAGGGGGGUGGGGGGGCUCCGGGUUUGCCGGGGGGGGGGGGAUUUCUGCACUUUGGGCCCGUGGAGCUGCAGGGAGA
rnacentral:lncRNA from 1 species